AUACGGAGGGUGCAAGCGUUAUCCGGAAUCAUUGGGUUUAAAGGGUCCGUAGGCGGACUAAUAAGUCAGGGGUGAAAUCCCACAGCUUAACUGUGGAACUGCCUUUGAUACUGUUAGUCUUGAGUUAUAUGGAAGUAGAUAGAAUGUGUAGUGUAGCGGUGAAAUGCUUAGAGAUUACACAGAAUACCGAUUGCGAAGGCAGUCUACUACAUAUAUACUGACGCUAAUGGGCGAAAGCGUGGGGAGCGAACAGGAUUAGAAACCCUAGUAGUCC
rnacentral:rRNA from 1 species